UACAGAGGUCUCAAGCGUUGUUCGGAUUCAUUGGGCGUAAAGGGUGCGUAGGUGGCGCUGUAAGUCGGGUGUGAAAUUUCGGAGCUCAACUCCGAAACUGCAUUCGAUACUGCGGUGCUUGAGGACUGGAGAGGAGACUGGAAUUUACGGUGUAGCGGUGAAAUGCGUAGAUAUCGUAGGGAAGACCAGUGGCGAAGGCGGGUCUCUGGACAGUUCCUGACGCUGAGGCACGAAGGCCAGGGGAGCAAACGGG
rnacentral:rRNA from 1 species